rnacentral:tRNA from 1 species
AGGGCUCUGGCUCAGUGGAAGAGCCUCUUCUUUGCAUGCAGGAAGCCCCAGGUUUAAUCUCCGGGAGGUCUG